AGUGAACGCUGGCGGUAGGCCUAACACAUGCAAGUCGAACGGCAGCACAGUAAGAGCUUGCUCUUACGGGUGGCGAGUGGCGGACGGGUGAGGAAUACAUCGGACUCUACUUUUUCGUGGGGGUUAACGUAGGGAAACUUACGCUAAUACCGCAUACGACCUACGGGUGAAAGCAGGGGAUCUUCGGACCUUGCGCGAUUGAAUGAGCCGAUGUCGUAUUAGCUAGUUGGCGGGGUAAAGGCCCACCAAGGCGACGAUCCGUAGCUGGUCUGAGAGGAUGAUAAGCCACACUGGAACUGAGACACGGUCCAGACUACUACGGGAGGCAGCAGUGGGGAAUAUUGGACAAUGGGCGCAAGCCUGAUCCAGCCAUACCGCGUGGGUGAAGAAGGCCUUCGGGUUGUAAAGCCCUUUUGUUGGGAAAGAAAAGCAGCAGGUUAAUACGCCGCUGUUCUGACGGUACCCAAAGAAUAAGCACCGGCUAACUUCGUG
rnacentral:rRNA from 1 species